rnacentral:misc_RNA from 1 species
GAUGAAGAACGCAGCGAAAUGCGAUACGUAAUGUGAAUUGCAGAAUUCAGUGAAUCAUCGAAUCUUUGAACGCAUAUUGCGCUCUCUGGUAUUCCGGAGAGCAUGCUUGUUUGAGUAUCAGUAAACACCUCAACUUCCAUAUCUUUUUUGAAAUGGGAGUUGGACUUGAGUGAUCCCAACGCUUUUCCUCACCGAAAAGUGGCGGGUUACUUGAAAUGCAGGUGCAGCUGGACUUUUCUCUGAGCUAUAAGCAUAUCUAUUUAGUCUGCCUAAAAAACAGAUUAUUACCUUUGCUGCAGCUAACAUAAAGGAGAUUAGUUCUUGUGCUGACUGAUGCAGGAUUCACAAAGACGGCUUCGCCCGACUUUGUAAACUCGAUCUCAAAUCAAGUAAGACUACCCGCUGAACUUAAGCAUAUCAAUAAGCGGAGGA